AAAUUGUACUUUCAGUUUGCUAUCGUUUGGGUCUUCUUGGAAAUGACAUCUAUUUUCUAGUAAAAAUUAAAAAGAAAGUAAUGAUUGUGGUGGUUUCUUGGGUUUAACAGGAACAAUGGUUCAAUGCCAUAAUGCUGUUGAAUAAAACUGAUUGCAGGGAGACGUAUCUUUUAAACACGUGAUAUAUUGUGAAUCUUGCAUCGUUUCCUUCCGUUCACGGGGUACAUGACAUUUUCAGUGGUAAGUAAUUUACUAC
rnacentral:misc_RNA from 1 species